ACACCGUUGGUGAAACGGUAUCAUGCAUCGUUGCCAUUCAAGGAUUUUCGAUGCGGCAGGGGUUCGACUCCCCUACGGUGUA
rnacentral:tRNA from 2 species